GAUGAACGCUGGCGGCGUGCCUAAUACAUGCAAGUCGAGCGAACAGACGAGGAGCUUGCUCCUCUGACGUUAGCGGCGGACGGGUGAGUAACACGUGGAUAACCUACCUAUAAGACUGGGAUAACUUCGGGAAACCGGAGCUAAUACCGGAUAAUAUAUUGAACCGCAUGGUUCAAUAGUGAAAGACGGUUUUGCUGUCACUUAUCGAUGGAUCCGCGCCGCAUUAGCUAGUUGGUAAGGUAACGGCUUACCAAGGCAACGAUGCGUAGCCGACCUGAGAGGGGGAUCGGCCACACUGGAACUGAGACCCGGUCCAAACUCCUACGGGAGGCAGCAGUAGGGAAUCUUCCGCAAUGGGCGAAAGCCUGACGGAGCAACGCCGCGUGAGUGAUGAAGGUCUUCGGAUCGUAAAACUCUGUUAUUAGGGAAGAACAAAUGUGUAAGUAACUAUGCACGUCUUGACGGUACCUAAUCAGAAAGCCACGGCUAACUACGUG
rnacentral:rRNA from 1 species